GCUUUUUCUUGUUAAUCAGAAAGUCUUUGUGUAACUGGAGUUUGAGAGAAAGGACAGGAGCACUCUGUCAGAUAUUUGUUGUCAAUAAUGCCUACAAGGAAAGACCAUUCUGGACACUGGGUGACUGAAUUCAGAUACAGGUCCAUGAUUUUUUUUUAACAGAGAUAAGCACAAUUUUACCCUUCAGAAGUCUCUCCUAGCCCCAGACGGGAGAAUCAGGAUGUCACAUCAGAAACUGUUGUGUCCUC